UACGAAGGGGGCUAGCGUUGUUCGGAAUCACUGGGCGUAAAGGGCGCGUAGGCGGCCGAUCAAGUCGGGGGUGAAAGCCUGUGGCUCAACCACAGAAUGGCCUUCGAUACUGUUUGGCUUGAGACCGGAAGAGGUCAGUGGAACUGCGAGUGUAGAGGUGAAAUUCGUAGAUAUUCGCAAGAACACCAGUGACGAAGGCGGCUGACUGGUCCGGUUCUGACGCUGAGGCGCGAAAGCGUGGGGAGCAAACAGG
rnacentral:rRNA from 1 species